rnacentral:rRNA from 1 species
CACGUAGGGCGCGAGCGUUGUCCGGAAUUAUUGGGCGUAAAAGGCUUGUAGGUGGCCACGUCAAGUCGGAUGUGAAAUCUCCCGGCUCAACUGGGAGGGGUCAUUCGAUACUGGCGGGCUCGAGGCCGGUAGGGGGAAGUGGAAUUCCCGGUGUAGUGGUGGAAUGCGUAGAUAUCGGGAGGAACACCAGUGGCGAAGGCGGCUUCCUGGACCGGCUCUGACACUGAGGAGCGAAAGCGUGGGGA